rnacentral:tRNA from 1 species
GGGCGUGUAACUCAGUUGGUUAGAGUGCUUCCCUUACAAGGAAGAAGUCGGGGGUUCGAGUCCCUCCACGCCCA